AUUGAACGCUGGCGGCAGGCCUAACACAUGCAAGUCGAGCGAGCGGCGGACGGGUGAGUAAUGUCUGGGCAACUGCCUGAUGGAGAGGGAUAACUACUGGAAACGGUAGCUAAUACCGCAUACCAUCAGAUGUGCCCAGAUGGGAUUAGCUAGUAGGUGGGGGAACGGGUCACCUAGGCGACGAGCCCUAGCUGGGCUGAGAGGAUGACCAGCCCCACUGUGACUGAGACACGGCCCGGACUCCUACGGGAGGCAGAAGUGGGGAAUAUUGCACAAUGGGCGCAAGCCUGAUGCAGCCAUGCCGCGUGUGUGAAGAAGGCCUUCGGGUUGUAAAGUACUUUCAGCGGGGAGGCGUUACCCGCAGAAGAAGCACCGGCUAACUCCGUGCCAGCAGCCGCGGUAAUAC
rnacentral:rRNA from 1 species